AUUUCGUUGAUGUGUCUCUCAACUCUAGUUCCAGUGCUGCACUGUUUUAAUUACUGUAUUUAAUUACUGUAGCUUUAAAUUGUGUGUGUUUGUGUGUGUGUAUGUGUGUGUUUUGGAGACAGAGUCUCACUCUGUCACUUAGGCUGGAGUGCAGUGGCACAAUCAUGGCUCACUGCAAGCUCUGCCUCUUGGGCUCAAGCCAUCCUCCGGCCUCAGUCUCCCAAGUAGCUGGGGUUAUAGGUGCAUGCCACCACACCCAGUUAAUUUUGUGUGUGUGUGUUUUUUGUAGAGAUGGGGUUUCACCAUGUUGCCCAGGCUGGUCUUGAACUGCUGGACUCAGACGAUCUACCUGCUUCGGCCUCCCAAAGUGCUGGGAUUACAGAUGAAGGAGCAGAGGUUAGAGAUGGAUGGAACUUGCCUUAUAGGAAGAUGGUCAAAUGGACUGGACAGUGCAAAUGGAAGAUCUGUUCUAUGCUCCUAACUCUCCAGGAGUUUACAAGGAAUAAAAUCUCUUCCAAAGGCUUUCUGUUGCAACAACUGGACCAUACUGAAAACUGAGUCCCACCAUUGUAAUCUAGGUUAGCAGGUAAUCAUUGUUGGUGGGGUCCUCCCUUUCCCCAGGCUCAUGUUUGUAUUGGGGAGCGGGAAAUUUUUGCUAGAGCAGCACUGCCAUCUCUCUACACUCCACCUGAUUGAUGGGAUGGACCAGAGAAAUGGACAUUCCCAACACAGUCCCUCCUUUCACAUCUGCUCACCUGCCCAGAGGAUACUAUCCACCAUGCAUAGUGGGCUCUGCACCAAGGAUUCAGCAGUGACCAAGAGGAAACUUGGACCCUUCUCUCUAGGAGCUGACACCAUUUAGUGAGGAGUCAGACAAGUAAAUAAAGAAGGAAAUGCCGUUAAACAUACAGGAUGAUUAUCACAGUUGUAAGGGGAAUGAGGGAACACUCUGGGAGCAUAAAGGAGGUGCAUCUAACCAAUUAUCAACUGCAUCAUCAAGUAUCAAGUCAGAAAGAUUAAAUUUCAUAAACCUUGCCUCUAAGCACCAACUUGAUGGUCACUCUGACAACACUAUAUUGGGCAUCCUCUCUAGGUCAGACCUGUGCUAGGAGCUGGGGGGAUAUAAGGAAGAAUAAGACAUAGCCCAUGCUCUUAAGGAGCUCACAAUCUAAUGGAGAAAAUCUCCAAAUAAACUAACACUUUCAGCAUAGUGCAGAGAUGGGGUCAUGCAAAAAGAACUAUAGAAAAACAGGGGUGGGGCCCCUAACACAGUGUGUAGGUCAGAGAAAGCUACUCCGAGGAGAUUAGUCCUGAGCUGAUUCUGAAGGGAUGAAUAGAGCUUAGUUGCUUGAAAAAUAUGGACAAGGUCAGUCCAGACAGAGGGAACUUCAUGGUCAAGAGUAUGGAGAUGAACCUGAGCAUAGAGGUUGGGGAAUGAGGCUUGAGCAAUAAGCAGGAGUCAGAGAAUGAAGGACCCUGUAUACCAUUCUGGGUACAACUGGAAAACUUGUACUUGAUCCUAUGUAAAAACAAAUAAGAUGUUGUGGGCCGGUGGGGGGCAAUUCUAAAGACAGAGGUAUAAGCCAAGGGGGCCGGGCUAUUACAGUCCAAGGGAGAAACGAUAACAGCCUGAGCUAGGCCUGUAAGAGCAGCAAAAGAGAGCAGAGAGACACAGAGCUGUUUGCAAGGUAGACGGAUGAGUGAUUGAUCGGCUGUGUGGCUAAGGCAGAGGAAGGAGUUUAUGAUGACUUCCAGUUUUCUAGUUUGUGUCCUGCCAGAAUUAGAGAUACAGAAGGAGCAAGGGUAGCAGAGGCAGGAGGGGAAGAAUGAGCUCAAUUUUGGACAUGUCAAAUUUGAGGUCCUUCUGGGUCAUCCUGGUAUGAGUGGCUCCCAAAGAAAGUGAUUUUGCAGAAAACAUGAUGCUUGCUACUUGCUCUCUUUUACUGAUAUAAAUUUGAAGAGGGGACAUAUAGUCUGGUAAUCUCACAUAGACAUAGAAAAGAUAUCAAAGCAGCCAGGAACCAAGCAUUAAGAACUCUCUCAUAUAGAGAGAGUGAACAAAUAAACCUCAUCAGACCAGCAGACUCUCCCAACCUACCCUGCAUUUCCCUGUUUGAUGUUCCUGCUAUUCCAGUGCUGAUGUCUAAGUAACUGUGCCACAAAGUAUACUGGGAAGCAGAACAAAUUGCCAAAAUUGUCUCAAGAUCUCCUUUUCUUCUGACAUGCACUAUGACUUGGGCAAAUGGAAAAUAAAUAAACCCAAACAUAAAAGAGGAAUUGCAGGCCCAUGUUCUUCUCAAGUGACUUUUAAGGGGAGGCAAAUGGAAAUGUUCACUUUGCUCUUAUUUGUAUCACUUUUUAAAAUAACUUUAUUGAUGUAGAAUUCACAUACUAUACAAUAAAAUCCUCUGAUGUCACUCCUAAGAUGGUAUGACUGUGAACAUGAGCACAAUCACCCUGAGAUGAUAGUGGUUUCAGCAUAGCUCUGUUCGUCUUUUUCCUUGAUACCUCCAUUAAAUUGUCUGCCUCCUUCUAUUAAACUACAUGAAUUUCUGGCUGAUUGCUCAAUUAUUUUUCAAUAAUUUUGGGGUUAUACAUUGCUUCACAGUUUGAUCCAGUUACAUUUAAGCAGGGGUAGCUUUAUGUCGUGAUUCUUUGAAGUUUGUUCUAACCCCAAGAAGACCCCUCUUAGCUGGGCCUUUCCCUGGUUCUCUCUGAUAAACAAGAUGGUCUGUGGUUAAGCUUUUUGCUCUAAUAGAGCUAUCGGCCUCUUAAUUGCUCACCAUUAAAAUCUCCAUCAUUUACCAGAGCAUCCUUACGCUUGAACUGCAACAUACUCCUUCAAACAAAGUCAGUUUCUUUGAGAGAACUUCAGCUACAUCUGUUCUUAUGGACUGACUCUCCCCCUGGGCAAAAUCUGUGAGUCACUGCUUUGAGUAUUGAGAAUCUCUUGCCUUGCUGGGUUGCUUCUCCCAGUAUGAAGCCUC
ensembl:lncRNA